CACGGCCUAUCAGCUUGUUGGUGAGGUAAUGGCUCACCAAGGCAUCGACGGGUAGCUGGUCUGAGAGGAUGAUUAGCCACACUGGGACUGAGACACGGCCCAGACUCCUACGGGAGGCAGCAGUGGGGAAUAUUGCACAAUGGGCGCAAGCCUGAUGCAGCAACGCCGCGUGCGGGAAGAAGGCCCUAGGGUUGUAAACCGCUUUCAGCAGGGAAGAAAAUGACGGUACCUGCAGAAGAAGGUGCGGCCAACUACGUGCCAGCAGCCGCGGUGACACGUAGGCACCAAGCGUUGUCCGGAUUUAUUGGGCGUAAAGAGCUCGUAGGCGGUUUUGUAAGUCGGGUGUGAAAACUCUGGGCCCAACCCAGAGAGGCCACUCGAUACUGCAAUGGCUUGAGUACGGUAGGGGAGCGGGGAAUUCCUGGUGUAGCGGUGAAAUGCGCAGAUAUCAGGAGGAACACCAGUGGCGAAGGCGCCGCUCUGGGCCGUAACUGACGCUGAGGAGCGAAAGCAUGGGUAGCAAACAGGAUUAGAUACCCUGGUAGUCCAUGCCGUAAACGUUGGGCACUAGGUGUGGGUCUCAACCAACGAGAUCCGCGCCGUCGCUAACGCAUUAAGUGCCCCGCCUGGGGAGUACGG
rnacentral:rRNA from 1 species